UCAACGAAAAUUAAGAACUAUAAAGUCAUAGAUUAAGACUAGGAACCACCUCCUUGGCUAGCCCAAUCUCCCUUGGGCUGGCCAUUUC
rfam:Moellerella wisconsensis ATCC 35017 Sequence00018, whole genome shotgun sequence.